GCCGUCGUGGCGCAAUGGUUAGCGCAUCACUUUCCUAAGGUGGGGGUUGGGGGUUCGACUCCCCCCGUCGGUA